UCUGCUUUGGAUAGUUCUUUUAGUAAAUGGCAUUACGUAAUUAAUUAUAAUUAUUAUGUAAUUAGUUCCUUUGUUACAAUUUCAGUAAGCUAGUCAUAGCUGGUUAUAUAUUCAUUCUUGUAAACUUCAUUUAUUGAUGAAUAACUUUUCAGUAAAUUCCUUUUUUCAAGAGAGCAUAUUGGCAUUGGUAGGAAUGGUUAAAAUAUCAAGUUUGCAAAACAUGCCUUUGAUGCUGGGAUUUAACUUUGUGAAGUUUUAUUUAAAUUGCACCUUUUGUAAAGGCAGUUUUAAUCCUUUCUGUUGUUUUGUUUUUAUUUCCUUGGAGGUGUAAAGUUU
rnacentral:lncRNA from 1 species